rnacentral:siRNA from 1 species
UCAAAUGUGACCAAUCAGAAG